rnacentral:rRNA from 1 species
GACGAACGCUGGCGGCGUGCUUAACACAUGCAAGUCGAACGGAAAGGCCUGCUUUUGUGGGGUGCUCGGGUGGCGAACGGGUGAGUAACACGUGAGUAACCUGCCCUUGACUUUGGGAUAACUUCAGGAAACUGGGGCUAAUACCGGAUAGGAGCUCCUGCUGCAUGGUGGGGGAUGGAAAGUUUCGGCGGUUGGGGAUGGACUCGCGGGUUAUCAGCUUGUUGGGGGGGUAGUGGCUUACCGAGGCUUUGACGGGUAGCCGGCCUGAGAGGGUGACCGGCCACAUUGGGACUGAGAUACGGCCCAGACUGCUACGGGAGGCAGCAGUGGGGAAUAUUGCACAAUGGGCGGAAGCCUGAUGCAGCAACGCCGCGUGCGGGAUGACGGCCUUCGGGUUGUAAACCGCUUUCGCCUGUGACGAAGCGUGAGUGACGGUAAUGGGUAAAGAAGCACCGGCUAACUACGUG